AUUGAACGCUAGCGGGAUGCUUUACACAUGCAAGUCGAACGAGUGGGGACGGGUGAGUAACACGUGGGUAACCUCCCAUCAGAGGGGAUAACACUUGGAAACAGGUGCUAAACCGAUACUGAUGGAUGGACCCGGGGUGCAUUAGCGAGUUGGUGGGGUAACGGCUCACCAAGGCCACGAUGAAUAGCCGCCCUGAGAGGGUGACCAGCCACACUGGGACUGAGACACGGCCCAGACUCCUACGGGAGGCAGCAGUAGGGAAUCUUCGGCAAUGGACGAAAGUCUGACCGAGCAACGCCGCGUGAGUGAAGAAGGUUUUCGGAUCGUAAAACUCUUUUGUUGGGGAAGCGGUAUCUAACCAGAAAGCAACGGCUAACUACGUGCCAGCAGCCGCGGUAAUAC
rnacentral:rRNA from 1 species